UACGGAGGGUGCAAGCGUUAUCCGGAUUCACUGGGUUUAAAGGGUGUGUAGGCGGGCAGAUAAGUCAGUGGUGAAAUCCCCGAGCUUAACUUGGGAACUGCCAUUGAUACUAUUUGUCUUGAAUGUCGUGGAGGUUAGCGGAAUAUGUCAUGUAGCGGUGAAAUGCUUAGAUAUCGUCAAGAACACCUAUAGCGAAGGCAGCUUACUAGGCUGUAACUGACGCUGAGGCACGAAAGUGUGGGGAUCAAACAGG
rnacentral:rRNA from 1 species